rnacentral:rRNA from 1 species
GACGAACGCUGGCGGCGUGCUUAACACAUGCGAGUCGAACGAUGAAGCCCAGCUUGCUGGGUGGAUUAGUGGCGAACGGGUGAGUAACACGUGAGUAACCUGCCCCUGACUCUGGGAUAAGCGUUGGAAACGACGUCUAAUACUGGAUAUGACUACUGGUCGCAUGGCCUGGUGGUGGAAAGAUUUUUUGGUUGGGGAUGGACUCGCGGCCUAUCAGCUUGUUGGUGAGGUAAUGGCUCACCAAGGCGACGACGGGUAGCCGGCCUGAGAGGGUGACCGGCCACACUGGGACUGGGACACGGCCCAGACUCCUACGGGAGGCAGCAGUGGGGAAUAUUGCACAAUGGGCGAAAGCCUGAUGCAGCAACGCCGCGUGAGGGAUGACGGCCUUCGGGUUGUAAACCUCUUUUAGUAGGGAAGAAGCGAAAGUGACGGUACCUGCAGAAAAAGCACCGGCUAACUACGUGCCAGCCGCCGCGGUAAAAC